rnacentral:lncRNA from 1 species
GGCAAACUGCACCAGUUCCCUUAAUUUCCCACCGAUUUUCAUGAAAAUUGCAUGGAUGCAGAGGGUUUUUAAUUUAGAACCAUUAAUGUAUCUAUAAAAAAAAAUAAAAAAUUGGAAAUUUCCAGAGUUACAGGGAUAUUUUCAAAAAUAUGGCAAAUUAUUGAAGGUGUGUAAGAGGCAAACUGCACCAGUUCCCUUAAUUUCCCACCGAUUUUCAUGAAAAUUGCAUGGAUGCAGAGGGUUUUUAAUUUAGAACCAUUAAUGUAUCUAUAAAAAAAAUAAAAAAUUGGAAAUUUCCAGAGUUACAGGGAUAUUUUCAAAAAUAUGGCAAAUUAUCGAAGGUGUGUAAGAGGCAAACUGCACCAGUUCCCUUAAUUUCCCACCGAUUUUCAUGAAAAUUGCAUUGAUGCAAAGGGUUUUUAAUUUAGAACCAUUAGUGUAUCUAUAAAAAAAAUUAAAAAUUGGAAAUUUUCAGAGUUACAGGGAUAUUUUCAAAAAUAUGGCAAAUUAUUGAAAGUGUGUAAGAGGCAAACUGCACCAGUUCCCUUAAUUUCCCACCGAUUUUCAUGAAAAUUGCAUUGAUGCAAAGGGUUUUUAAUUUAGAACCAUUAGUGUAUCUAUAAAAAAAAUUAAAAAUUGGAAAUUUUCAGAGUUACAGGGAUAUUUUCAAAAAUAUGGCAAAUUAUUGAAAGUGUGUAAGAGGCAAACUGCACCAGUUCCCUUAAUUUCCCACCGAUUUUCAUGAAAAUUGCAUUGAUGCAAAGGGUUUUUAAUUUAGAACCAUUAGUGUAUCUAUAAAAAAAAUUAAAAAUUGGAAAUUUUCAGAGUUACAGGGAUAUUUUCAAAAAUAUGGCAAAUUAUUGAAAGUGUGUAAGAGGCAAACUGCACCAGUUCCCUUAAUUUCCCACCGAUUUUCAUGAAAAUUGCAUUGAUGCAAAGGGUUUUUAAUUUAGAACCAUUAAUGUAUCUAUAAAAAAAAAUAAAAAAUUGGAAAUUUCCAGAGUUACAGGGAUAUUUUCAAAAAUAUGGCAAAUUAUCGAAGGUGUGUAAGAGGCAAACUGCACCAGUUCCCUUAAUUUCCCACCGAUUUUCAUGAAAAUUGCAUGGAUGCAAAGGGUUUUUAAUUUAGAACCAUUAAUGUAUCUAUAAAAAAAAUAAAAAAUUGGAAAUUUCCAGAGUUACAGGGAUAUUUUCAAAAAUAUGGCAAAUUAUCGAAGGUGUGUAAGAGGCAAACUGCACCAGUUCCCUUAA